rnacentral:rRNA from 1 species
AAUCAACGCUGGCGGCAUGCCUAACACAUGCAAGUCGAACGGGAAAGUGGGAGCAAUCCCAUGAGUAUAGUGGCGCACGGGUGAGUAACACGUUGGUACCUGCCCUCUAGUGGGGAAUAACUGGCCGAAAGGUCGGCUAAUACCGCAUGUGGUCUACGGAUCAAAGCAGCAAUGCGCUAGAGGAGGGGCCUGCGUCUGAUUAGCUAGUUGGUAGUGAAUGGACUACCAAGGCGACGAUCAGUAGCUGGUUCGAGAGGAUGACCAGCCACACUGGGACUGAGAUACGGCCCAGACUCCUACGGGAGCAGCAAGUAAGGAAUCUUCCACAAUGGACGAAAGUCUGAUGGAGCAACGCCGCGUGCAGGAU